rnacentral:rRNA from 1 species
UACAGAGGUCUCAACCGUUGUUCGGAUUCAUUGGGCGUAAAGGGUGCGUAGGCGGUCGGGUAAGUCGGAUGUGAAAUCUCAGGGCUCAACCCUGAAACUGCAUUCGAUACUGCCUGGCUAGGGUACUGGAGAGGAGACUGGAAUUUACGGUGUAGCAGUGAAAUGCGUAGAUAUCGUAAGGAAGACCAGUGGCGAAGGCGAGUCUCUGGACAGUUACCGACGCUGAGGCACGAAGGUCAGGGGAGCGAACAGG